UACGUAGGUGGCGAGCGUUGUCCGGAUUUACUGGGCGUAAAGCGCACGUAGGCGGCUUUGCAAGUCAGAGGUGAAAGCCCGGGGCUCAACCCCGGAAUUGCCUUUGAGACUGCAUCGCUAGAAUUGUGGAGAGGUAAGUGGAAUUCCGAGUGUAGAGGUGAAAUUCGUAGAUAUUCGGAAGAACACCAGUGGCGAAGGCGACUUACUGGACACAUAUUGACGCUGAGGUGCGAAAGCGUGGGGAGCAAACAGG
rnacentral:rRNA from 1 species